rnacentral:rRNA from 1 species
GAGUUUGAUUCUGGCUCAGAUUGAACGCUGGCGGCAUGCCUAACACAUGCAAGUCGAACGGCAGCGGGGGAUAGCUUGCUAUCCUGCCGGCGAGUGGCGGACGGGUGAGUAAUGCAUGGGAAUCUGCCUUUUGCUGGGGGAUAACGUAGGGAAACUUACGCUAAUACCGCAUAAGACCUUAUGGUGAAAGCGGGGGAUCUUCGGACCUCGCGGCGAGAGAUGAGCCCAUGUUGGAUUAGCUGGUUGGUGGGGUAAAGGCCUACCAAGGCGACGAUCCAUAGCUGGUCUGAGAGGAUGAUCAGCCACACUGGGACUGAGACACGGCCCAGACUCCUACGGGAGGCAGCAGUGGGGAAUAUUGGACAAUGGGGGCAACCCUGAUCCAGCAAUGCCGCGUGUGUGAAGAAGGCCUUCGGGUUGUAAAGCACUUUCAGCAGGGAGGAAUAGAUAAUGGUUAAUACCCGUUAUUGUGACGUACCUGCAGAAGAGC